rnacentral:rRNA from 1 species
AGAACGUAGCGAAAUGCGAUACUUGGUGUGAAUUGCAGAAUCCCGUGAACCAUCGAGUCUUUGAACGCAAGUUGCGCCCGAAGCCAUUAGGCUGAGGG